ensembl:snoRNA U3 Small nucleolar RNA U3
AAGAGGUCAGGGCCAUGCUGUUCGGAUAUCUUUGAAAGAUACCUUUUUGAAAGAAAGGACUAUGAUGAGGAGGCAUGGUGGUGUUCUCUCCUGAGCAUGAAGCUGGCUUCAAGUUGCUUCCACAAUUGCCUCUUGCCAUUGAUGAUCAUUCUUUUCCUCCUUUGGGGAAGUAAGAGGGAGAUGAUACAGUCUGAGUGGU